rnacentral:lncRNA from 1 species
AAUUUUUCUUACCAAGCUGAUAAUAAAAUAUAAAUUAAGAGUAAGGGAAAGAGAAAAAUGCACAGGUGAUUUUAUCCUGGUUCAGAUCACAAGGAUCCUACGUCCAGUCGCUUAUCUCUUAACAAGAUAAACCUUUUUCCACUAAACACAAAACAAUUACAAAUAUUAGUCACAAAGAAAAAUAAUUUGUAACAGUUUAGAAAUACCACCUCUCUUGAAACCACAAGAGAUGAACUUACAAACACCUCCUUUGAAUGAUCACAAAGGAUG